rnacentral:rRNA from 1 species
ACUAGUGAUUAGGGUUUGAUCAUGGCUCAGGAUGAACGCUAGCGGCAGGCUUAACACAUGCAAGUCGAGGGGUAACAGGGAGCUUGCUCUGCUGACGACCGGCGCACGGGUGCGUAACGCGUAUACAAUCUACCUUGUACUAGGGGAUAGCCUUUAGAAAUGAAGAUUAAUACCCUAUAGUCUAUUUGAAUGGCAUCAUUUAAAUAGUAAAGGUUACGGUACAAGAUGAGUAUGCGUCCUAUUAGUUUGUUGGUAAGGUAACGGCUUACCAAGACUACGAUAGGUAGGGGCCCUGAGAGGGGGAUCCCCCACACUGGUACUGAGACACGGACCAGACUCCUACGGGAGGCAGCAGUGAGGAAUAUUGGACAAUGGAGGCAACUCUGAUCCAGCCAUGCCGCGUGCAGGAAGACUGCCCUAUGGGUUGUAAACUGCUUUUAUACAGGAAGAAUAAGCCUUACGUGUAAGGUGAUGACGGUACUGUAAGAAUAAGGACCGGCUAACUCCGUGC